UGGGGAAUUUUGGACAAUGGGCGCAAGCCUGAUCCAGCCAUGCCGCGUGCGGGAAGAAGGCCUUCGGGUUGUAAACCGCUUUAGUCUAGGAAGAAGGGGUGCGAGGAUAAUACCCUCGUGCUUUGAUGGUACUGGAAGAAUAAGCACCGGCUAACUACGUGCCAGCAGCCGCGGUAAUACGAAGGGGGCUAGCGUUGCUCGGAAUUACUGGGCGUAAAGGGAGCGUAGGCGGACAUUUAAGUCAGGGGUGAAAUCCCGGGGCUCAACCUCGGAAUUGCCUUUGAUACUGGGUGUCUUGAGUGUGAGAGAGGUAUGUGGAACUCCGAGUGUAGAGGUGAAAUUCGUAGAUAUGCGGAGGAACACCGAUGGCGAAGGCAAUCCCCUGGGCCUGCACUGACGCUCAUGCACGAAAGCGUGGGGAGCAAACA
rnacentral:rRNA from 1 species